GAAAAGGGAAACAAAACGGAUACAAUAAUUGUGAAAAAAAGUCGCGUGAGAGCAUCUGAUCUGAAAACAUGUUUUUCAUCCAUUCAAAUUUCAAGCAAAACAACAACAUAACAGCAGCCUGUUUGAUCUUGUUCUGUCCUUCAGUUUGAGUUGGGCGCUCGUCAAUGGAAGUUUUGUGCAAGUUGGAUGCAUUAGGUGUCAAUUUUUGGCCCUAAAAAGGAUGUGCAGAUUCUGGGUUGAAGUCUUAGAUCCGGUUGGAACGGAUUCGCUGACUUCUUCUUCGCCGGUUCGCUCUCCGAAGUCUUGAUCACGACGUCCUUUUUCUCGAUGCGUUAAAGGUCAAUGGCCGUGGGCAAGUUACGUGCGGCGAUGCAGUCACAAAUCACGGUUCACCUGGAUGUGGUCCAAAAUUAGCCGUUCAACGUUCAGUCCACGAAAGUCGGCAUUUGCCUUGACGGU